UGCGUGUGACGAAAAACGAUGGAUGAAAAACGCGAGGAGCGGGGUCCGAAGUCUUUCGUUGGUCACACACACAUGCAUCUACCGUUGGAUUGCGUUGAACCGAAUCUACACAUCUCUCUCGAUCCACCAUGAUUUUUCUGCUAUCGCGCUCAUCCGGGUGUUAGACAUCCUCAGUCUGUCCAGAACUGUCCCUAUGGAAGGAUGUACUGAAGUAAGGUGUGGUUUCUUGUGCGACGUUCUUUGUUCAUUUACGUUUUGUGCCGGGUUCCUUCUUGCUCAGUAAUGGAAUGAUUUAUCCUAGCAAAUUGUUGAGUUACAGGUGUGUGCGCUAUUUAUCAACGACUACCUGCUAGCCUCGUCAACAAUCUUCGAAGUGAGCGACGGAAAGAAAACGUUUUCCAGUUUUAAAAUAUUAAGCCCCCGGUGAGGACGUCAUUACUUAACAGAAGCCGGUUCAACACGCGCAGCUCCUGUUCAUGACGUCAUCACUAAACUGAAGCCAGCUGAACACGCGCAGCACGGAUGGUACCCCGAGCGCGGUAGGAGGAAGGAAGAACGAGAGGAGGAAGAACGGUAAAUUUGGAAGGGGGAAAGCGUUCUGCGGUCUACACAGCGGGAGUAUGCCAAAACACUUGUGGGAAGGGAGAGGGAUAUUAUUCAAUAAACAGCAUGCGAAUGUGUGCAUAAAGCAAAUGUGAACAGCCUCAUCAUUUCUAUAAGCAAUCCGAAAAAGGGGGUGGAGCAAACACAUUGGUAUGCGUGAGCGGCUGAAGAAACCAGAACGUUUAGAUGUGUGCGUGACGGAUGGUUCGGGCGCCUGUGGCGAAGCUCUCGACAA